rnacentral:rRNA from 1 species
UACGUAGGGCGCAAGCGUUGUCCGGAAUUAUUGGGCGUAAAGAGCUCGUAGGCGGUCUGUCACGUCGGAAGUGAAAACCCGGGGCUUAACCCCGGGCUUGCUUUCGAUACGGGCAGACUAGAGUGUGGUAGGGGAGACUGGAAUUCCUGGUGUAGCGGUGAAAUGCGCAGAUAUCAGGAGGAACACCGGUGGCGAAGGCGGGUCUCUGGGCCACUACUGACGCUGAGGAGCGAAAGCGUGGGGAGCGAACAGG